rnacentral:rRNA from 1 species
UGGGGAAUUUUGGACAAUGGGCGCAAGCCUGAUCCAGCCAUGCCGCGUGCAGGAUGAAGGCCUUCGGGUUGUAAACUGCUUUUGUACGGAACGAAAAGGUGCCUUCUAAUAAAGGGCGCUCAUGACGGUACCGUAAGAAUAAGCACCGGCUAACUACGUGCCAGCAGCCGCGGUAAUACGUAGGGUGCGAGCGUUAAUCGGAAUUACUGGGCGUAAAGCGUGCGCAGGCGGUUUUGUAAGACAGAGGUGAAAUCCCCGGGCUCAACCUGGGAACUGCCUUUGUGGCUGCAAGGCUGGAGUGCGGCAGAGGGGGAUGGAAUUCCGCGUGUAGCAGUGAAAUGCGUAGAUAUGCGGAGGAACACCGAUAGCGAAGGCAAUCCCCUGGGCCUGCACUGACGCUCAUGCACGAAAGCGUGGGAGCAAACA